rnacentral:lncRNA from 1 species
CUCAAAUUCAACAAUUUGCACUGGGUUCCCCCCGCCAUGAAUAUAAUGUAUUUCCAUAAUUCAAGUCAUACUCAGCUCUAUUCUGUGGUUUCAAGGAGCUCAUACAUUGCAGAUUUAUUUCCCAGGUUGUGAAGCGGUCCCCUAUGGCAAGUGCGAAAUGCCUUUGAUGUGGUGGGUGCAGCAUCCCGGCCGACAGACACACUUAAUCCACCAGGUCUUUGAUUUCAUAGUUUGGUUGAGAGUUUUUCAUUGUAAGAAGCUCACAGUUUCCUGGAGGGGAAGCCCUCUCUGUGUGCCUCGCUUUGUGUGAGCACAGUGACUUGCCGAGACGUUUCAAAAGUAUGUAUGCCUUUUGAUUUGAUUUGUUACUGGAUAACUUCAGUUGAGUUA